GAUGAACGCUAGCGACAGGCUUAACACAUGCAAGUCGAGGGGUAACAGGGUAGCAAUACCGCUGACGACCGGCGCACGGGUGAGUAACGCGUAUGCAACCUGCCUAUAACUGGGGAAUAGCUCCCUGAAAGGGGAAUUAACACCGCAUAACACUAUUGAUUCGCAUGGAUUGGUAGUUAAAUGUAGCGAUACAGGUUAUAGAUGGGCAUGCGUGACAUUAGCUAGUUGGUGAGGUAACGGCUCACCAAGGCUACGAUGUCUAGGGGUUCUGAGAGGAAGGUCCCCCACACUGGUACUGAGACACGGACCAGACUCCUACGGGAGGCAGCAGUGAGGAAUAUUGGUCAAUGGGCGCAAGCCUGAACCAGCCAUGUCGCGUGCAGGAAGACUGCCCUAUGGGUUGUAAACUUCUUUUGUAUAGGGAUAAACCUACCCUCGUGAGGGUAGCUGAAGGUACUAUACGAAUAAGCACCGGCUAACUCCGUGCCAGC
rnacentral:rRNA from 1 species